GCGCACCAGGCGAGAAACUUUACAAUGUGCGAAAGCACGAUAAGGGAACUCUGAGUGCCUCCUAAGGAGGCUGUUCAGGUGUCUAAAAGCACCUGAAGGAAGGGCUGGGUAAGACCGGUGCCAGCCGCCGCGGUAACACCGGCAGCCCAAGUGGUAGCCACGUUUAUUGGGUCUAAAGCGUCCGUAGCCGGCUGGGUAAGUUCCUUGGGAAAUUUGGCUGCUUAACAGUCAAGCUUUCAGGGAAUACUGCCCGGCUUGGGACCGGGAGAGGUCAGAGGUACUCCAGGGGUAGGGGUGAAAUCCAUUAAUCCUUGGGGGACCACCGGUAGCGAAGGCGUCUGACCAGACCGGGUCCGACGGUGAGGGACGAAGGCUAGGGGCGCGAACCGGAUUAGAUACCCGUGUAGU
rnacentral:rRNA from 1 species